UUGCAGCAGACCUUGGGAGUGUUUUACUUUCUACGUGUAGUCGCUGGGAAAGGCUGAUCUGACGAGUGCUCUAAAUAAUAAUAAUAAUAAUAAUAAUGGUUUUUAACUGCUUAUUCAGGGCAUGCAAAUGUCAUCCUGGUCCUUCUGUUUUAUCCCUUCUCACAGGUGAAGAAGAAAAUCUGGAUAUUUUGGGUUUGAAUUGUGGAUGUUUUUAAAGUGGAUUUCACCUUGAGAAUCUCAGCGAUCUGGAGGAACAGAAGGUAAAAUAAAUGAUCUUGGUUAAACUGUCUGCCCAUUCUGCUGAUCUAUGUACUGUCCUGUCUGCCCAAAGUUGUUU